UACAUGGGGUGCAAACGUUGCUCGGAAUUAUUGGGCGUAAAGCGCACGUAGGCGGUUCGUUAAGUCGGAUGUGAAAGCCCUCGGCUCAACUGAGGAAGUGCACCCGAAACUGGCGAGCUUGAGUACGAAAGAGGAUCGCGGAAUUCCCGGUGUAGAGGUGAAAUUCGUAGAUAUCGGGAGGAACACCGGCGGCGAAGGCGGCGAUCUGGGUCGAUACUGACGCUGAGGUGCGAAAGCGUGGGAGCAACAGG
rnacentral:rRNA from 1 species